UACGUAGGGUGCAAGCGUUAAUCGGAAUUACUGGGCGUAAAGCGUGCGAAGGCGGUUUUGUAAGUCUGUCGUGAAAUCCCCGGGCUCAACCUGGGAAUUGCGAUGGAGACUGCAAGGCUAGAAUCUGGCAGAGGGGGGUAGAAUUCCACGUGUAGCAGUGAAAUGCGUAGAGAUGUGGAGGAACACCGAUGGCGAAGGCAGCCCCCUGGGUCAAGAUUGACGCUCAUGCACGAAAGCGUGGGGAGCAAACAGG
rnacentral:rRNA from 1 species